CAGCAUGACCUUGUUUAACAAUGGCGCUGUACAGUGAUGUCAGCGGAGAGCAUCAGUAUGAAGUGGUGGUUUCUGCAAGCAUCUCAGUUCUGCAGAAGGCAUGAUGCUGUUUCAGAGUACAGUUCAUUCUUGCGUGGUCCCUUGACAGCAUCAAUGCUGCUCCUGCAUCUUCCAUCACAAUUUGGCACCUAACUUGGUUGACCAGCCCAAGGAGUCGCACAGCCAUGCUUGACGGACAAGUCUUCAUCGGUUGGCUAGGUGGCCUCUCCCCUGCCCUGCAGUUUAGACUAAGAAACCUGGCAUUCUCCGCACUCUUCUGGGCUGUUGAACACAAUGUAUCCUGCUUUGUGGUGGAAGAAUUUCUGACUCUCCAGUCCACUUACUGUAUUCAGAAACUGGAAAUCUGGUCGCCAUCAAGGGAAAGUGCCCAAAACAAUUCAUUCUGUCUCAAUAUUGCCAUUGUUACCUAGAAGGAAAAGGCUACAAAAGCAGUAUAUUCUUCCUCAAACAGAAGAAAAACUUAGUGGGCGGUUGUUGCAAUGAUAAAGUGUUCAUGGUCUGCCAAGGAAUUACAUUGAGCCAUUUUUAGCCAAAGGACAGAUACUAAAAUACUGGUUUUGAAAGAGGAAUGGAGACUCUGUGCAAAAGAGUUUCUGUGGAAUAAAUAUUUCCUCCAAAAAAAAAAAAAAAAAAAAAAAAAGGAUUAGGGCUAUUUUUCUUCUAUCUUGUGUUUUUGAAAUACACCAGAUGGACUUUCUUUUCUGAGUUUUAAAAAUCACGUGUUAAUAAAAGGUGUAUUUAUGCUUGUGCUUGAAAGUUCUCUAGAAUUGAAUGAAAUACCUAAGUACAAAGCUGGAAUAUGUUCUACUUUCUGCUUUUCCCAUCACCCAGUUGUACAGUUUUCUUCAGAGCAGUAAGAGACUUGUGUGUUACUUCUGUGAAAUUUGGGGAUGAAUUAGAUGCAGCAUUUAUGAAUCAUGACACUGGCUCAAAACAGCUAAUAGCAAUUGCCUUUUUAGAAAUACAGGGAGAGGUGCAGUCUUGCUGGGUCGUAGUCAAUAAAACAAUACUUAAAUCUUCAACCUUCCAAACAUGAAACAAAAUAAUCAGCAUUUCAUAUCAGUUACCAGAAAAUGCCUAAUAGCCAAUCUCAGAAUGACAAAUACAAUAACAAAAAAAAAAUCCAUGCUAAGUAAUUGCUAUUUGCUAACAAUGCUUCUAAAGCAGAAAACUGACUGCCACUUGAGAUUCUCCAGAAGACUGCAGUGAAAGCAGUGGUAGGGGUUUGGCUCUGCAUCAGUCCACUGUGAAAAAAGUAACAGAUAAUUGGAGAUAGAGAUUUUACACUGUAGAAUACAAGAAGCUGGAAUAAAAGAAUAUUUGUACACAG